rnacentral:ncRNA from 1 species
UCAUGUGACUGACGGAAGUGGAGUUACCACGGGGAGCAUGAUUCUUUGAAGCCGACCGUCUGGGCAACU